CCUACGGGAGGCAGCAGUGGGGAAUAUUGCACAAUGGGCGAAAGCCUGAUGCAGCGACGCCGCGUGAGUGAGGAAGUAUUUCGGUAUGUAAAGCUCUAUCAGCAGGGAAGAAAGAAAUGACGGUACCUGAGUAAGAAGCUCCGGCUAAAUACGUGCCAGCAGCCGCGGUAAUACGUAUGGAGCAAGCGUUAUCCGGAUUUACUGGGUGUAAAGGGAGCGUAGGCGGCAGAGCAAGUCUGAUGUGAAAGCCCGGGGCUCAACCCCGGUAGUGCAUUGGAAACUGUUCGGCUCGAGUGUCGGAGGGGUAAGCGGAAUUCCUGGUGUAGCGGUGAAAUGCGUAGAUAUCAGGAAGAACACCGGAGGCGAAGGCGGCUUACUGGACGAUUACUGACGCUGAGGCUCGAAAGCGUG
rnacentral:rRNA from 1 species